AGACUUAGUUACUUGUAGCAGAGUGAUAGUAUUGGCUUUGGGGAUUUUGUGUAUGUCAUUUUGUUUUGUAAGGGCAGGGUCUAACCUAAGCUGUAAAAAAAAAAAAAAAAAAAAGUUCACAGGAAACCAGUUAGGGAACUGUAAAUAGUUAAAGAAUAAAGUCUUAGUUAAGAGUAACACUAAAGCCAGGCAUGGUGGUGCACACCUGUAAUCCUAGUGGCUAGGGAGGUUGAAGCGAUGAUCUUGAGAAACUGAGGGGACCCUUGUUCUUGGAAAACCCACAGUGUUACUAGGCACAUAGUUACCCUGCUGAGUCAUUUAUCCGUGAAUAACUGGAAAGGCCUGAGGAGCCAGAUAUCUCUGACUGCAGUGCCAGAAGUUGGUUCUUUACUCAGCAAUGCAAGUUCCUAGAAAGACCAAAGAAUGCUUGAGGCCUAAGUUCUGACUGUAAUGACCUACAGCAACAACCAAUCAGCGUGAGACAGGGAAGAUAUCUGGAAUGCCAGGCAGCCCUCCUAGUAGUUUCGGUGAUUGAUAACAUGAUUAGGAAACUCUGCAGUUUAGUAUAUCCACUCUUGCAACCACUGGAGGCCUAAACCAAUCAGUUUAAACAUAUCCACCAUUUGAACUAAUCAAUCACCCUUACCUGACUUGUUCUUGCCAAUGAAUGUGCUAAUCAAUGUUAAGAGUUGUUGUUUGAUUUUCCUGCGGUGUGAAAUGAUUUGCUGUGUGAUAUUGUGACG
rnacentral:lncRNA from 1 species